ensembl:lncRNA
UCACCAUCACCAUCACCACCAUCACCAUCACCAUCAUCACCACCAUCAUCAUCAUCACCACCAUCACCACCACCAUCAUCAUCAUCACCAUCAUCAUCAUCACCACCAUCAUCACCAUCAUCACCACCAUCAUCAUCACCAUCACCACCAUCAUCAUCACCAUCACCACCAUCAUCACCAUCAUCAUCAUCAUCACCACCAUCACCACCAUCACCACCAUCACCACCACCAUCACCAUCACCAUCAUCACCAUCAUCAUCAUCAUCACCACCAUCAUCACCAUCAUCACCAUCAUCAUCACCAUCAUCACCAUCACCAUCAUCAUCACCAUCAUCAUCAUCAUCAUCAUCACCAUCACCACCAUCAUCAUCAUCAUCAUCACCAUCAUCACCACCAUCAUCAUCACCAUCACCAUCAUCACCAUCACCACCAUCACCACCAUCAUCAUCACCAUCAUCAUCACCAUCAUGAUCACCACCAUCACCAUCAUCAUCAUCACCAUCAUCAUCCAUCAUCAUCACCACCAUCAUCAUCAUCACCAUCACCAUCAUCAUCACCACCAUCACCACCAUCAUCAUCAUCAUCAUCACCAUCAUCAUCACCAUCAUGAUCACCACCAUCAUCAUCACCACCAUCAUCAUCAUCACCACAUCAUCAUCACCAUCAUCACCAUCAUCAUCACCAUCAUCACCAUCAUCACCAUCAUCAUCACCAUCACCAUCACCAUCACCACCAUCA